AGAGCGAACGCUGGCGGCAUGCUUAACACAUGCAAGUCGCACGGCCGGGGGUAACCCCGGCAGUGGCGGACGGGUGAGUAACGCGUAGGUAUCUAUCCUUGGGUGGGGGACAACCGUGGGAAACUACGGCUAAUACCGCAUGAUGACCGAGGUCCAAAGGCGCAAGUCGCCCAGGGAGGAGCCUGCGUACGAUUAGCUUGUUGGUGGGGUAAAGGCCUACCAAGGCGACGAUCGUUAGCUGGUCUGAGAGGAUGAUCAGCCACAUUGGGACUGAGACACGGCCCAAACUCCUACGGGAGGCAGCAGUGGGGAAUAUUGGACAAUGGGCGAAAGCCUGAUCCAGCAAUGCCGCGUGUGUGAAGAAGGUCUUCGGAUUGUAAAGCACUUUCGACGGGGACGAUGAUGACGGUACCGUAGAAGAAGCCCCGGCUAACUUCGUGCCAGCAGCCGC
rnacentral:rRNA from 1 species